rnacentral:snoRNA from 1 species
AAGGAAUGAUGAUUCUAUAUUGGUCCGUGUUGUUGAAAGCAAUGAUAGUGUUUGCAAUAUACUGACCUU